UACGGGGGGGGCAAGCGUUGUUCGGAAUUACUGGGCGUAAAGGGCUCGUAGGUGGCCAACUAAGUCAGACGUGAAAUCCCUCGGCUUAACCGGGGAACUGCGUCUGAUACUGGAUGGCUUGAGUUUGGGAGAGGGACGCGGAAUUCCAGGUGUAGCGGUGAAAUGCGUAGAUAUUGGGUGGAACACCAGUGGCGAAGGCGGUGCGCUGGGCCGGAACUGACGCUCAUGAACGAAAGCGUGGGUAGCAAACAGG
rnacentral:rRNA from 1 species